AGUUUGCGGAGUAAAGGGUGAAGUUGGAAAUUGAGCGUUACAAGUGAGUGGCAGGAAGGUUUAAACAGAAGAUCCAGUCUGUUAAUAUUCUCUCUGUGUAUGUGGAUUGUGUGGCACGCGGCAAACAGACUCAUCUGGAAAAAGACGCAAGGGAGAACCUUGAUUUCCAGAAGAACUGAUGUUGGAAUUAACUGAUGAUGGAAUCAACCUACAGGAAGAAAACCGAGGAAGCCCAGCAUCCAUCUGAAGACAGAUCAGCUACAAAGGGAAGAUUCCAACAUCUGAAAUACUGAGGUGAUCCCAUUACAAACAGUGAUGACACAGCGUUGCCUGAGCCCUGCCUCCAGUCCUGCUUGAGGGGUCCUGAGCGGUGGCACAGAGUGCUCUGUGCUGUGGCUCCUCUGGGUAAACUCGGAAAGGACAGAGUCACGUGAACAUGUCCUGGCAUCGUGGAUGGUGGAACAAAGUUUCCAAGCGCCAAGCCCUAAGGGAGAAAUACCGUUGUUUCCGUAGUGCACAGGCACCGUGGUGCACCUGCCUGUGAAGAGCUUACCGUCCCAGAUCAGGUCUGACCGACUGCAGCACAAGGUUCCAAGCUGACGGGUGCAGUGGGGAGUUAGGGCCCUUCUUGCGCCCCUGCCCCCACCCAGACUUUUCAGAGGCUCCCAAAGGCAUGGGCGGCGGUGUAGUGAUUUUCACCACGGUUUUCUAAAUGUUCUAAAUUUCCCAUAACAAAUUCACUAUUUAUCAGAAAAAAGGCUAUUAAAAGGAAACCAAA